UAAGGAAUAUUGGUCAAUGGAGGCAACUCUGAACCAGCCAUGCCGCGUGAAGGAUUAAGGCCCUCUGGGUUGUAAACUUCUUUUAUAUGGGCAGAAAUGUUCUGAUUCUUCAGAGCUUGACGGUACCAUAGGAAUAAGCACCGGCUAACUCCGUGCCAGCAGCCGCGGUAAUACGGAGGGUGCAAGCGUUAUCCGGAUUCACUGGGUUUAAAGGGUGCGUAGGUGGGCUGAUAAGUCAGUGGUGAAAUCUUCCGGCUUAACCGGAAAAUGGCCGUUGAUAGUAUUUGUCUUGAAUAUUGCGGAGGUAAGCGGAAUAUGUCAUGUAGCGGUGAAAUGCUUAGAUAUGACAUAGAACACCAAUUGCGAAGGCAGCUUACUAUAUAAUUAUUGACGCUGAGGCACGAAAGCGUGGGUAGCGAACA
rnacentral:rRNA from 1 species